AGCUCUACAGAAGAUGAAAAGAAAACUGUGGAAGAAAAGAGCACCUUCAUGCAAAGGGUUCACUAGCGAGUUGAGCCCUGAGAAAGAGAGACAAAUCAAAAAUUGUGACACUUAGAAAUAUAAAUCCAGGCUUAUUAUUAUCUAGAAAUGAAAGUGUAACUUGAUGAACCUUAAGGAGCACUCUUCUAUCAUAUUUCCUAAAACAACAGACUCAUAUGGAAAUGGAAAAUGGUGGCAUGAUACAAAACAGUAUCCGGUGUUUGUGGGCCACAAGCCAGGACGGAACACCACACAGAGGCACAGGCUGGACAUCCAGAUGAUUAUGAUCAUGAACGGAACCCUCUACAUUGCUGCUAGGGACCAUAUUUAUACUGUUGAUAUAGACACAUCACACACGGAAGAAAUUUAUUGUAGCAAAAAACUGACAUGGAAAUCUAGACAGGCCGAUGUAGACACAUGCAGAAUGAAGGGAAAACAUAAGGAUGAGUGCCACAACUUUAUUAAAGUUCUUCUAAAGAAAAACGAUGAUGCAUUGUUUGUCUGUGGAACUAAUGCCUUCAACCCUUCCUGCAGAAACUAUAAGAUGGAUACGUUGGAACCAUUCGGGGAUGAAUUCAGCGGAAUGGCCAGAUGCCCAUAUGAUGCCAAACAUGCCAACGUUGCACUGUUUGCAGAUGGAAAACUAUACUCAGCCACAGUGACUGACUUCCUUGCCAUUGACGCAGUCAUUUACCGGAGUCUUGGAGAAAGCCCUACCCUGCGGACCG
rnacentral:sRNA from 1 species